AGCCGGCGAUGUCCGAAUGGGGAAACCCAGUGCAAUUCGUUGCACUAUCGUUAACUGAAUACAUAGGUUAACGAGGCGAACCGGGGGAACUGAAACAUCUAAGUACCCCGAGGAAAAGAAAUCAACCGAGAUUCCCCCAGUAGCGGCGAGCGAACGGGGAGCAGCCCAGAGUCUGAAUCAGCUUGUGUGUUAGUGGAACGGUCUGGAAAGUCCGACGGUACAGGGUGAUAGUCCCGUACACCAAAAUGCACAGGCUGUGAACUCGAAGAGUAGGGCGGGACACGUGGUAUCCUGUCUGAAUAUGGGGGGACCAUCCUCCAAGGCUAAAUACUCCUGACUGACCGAUAGUGAACCAGUACCGUGAGGGAAAGGCGAAAAGAACCCCGGCGAGGGGAGUGAAAAAGAACCUGAAACCGUGUACGUACAAGCAGUGGGAGCACCUUCGGGUGUGACUGCGUACCUUUUGUAUAAUGGGUCAGCGACUUAUAUUCUGUAGCAAGGUUAACCGUAUAGGGGAGCCGCAGGGAAACCGAGUCUUAACUGGGCGUUAAGUUGCAGGGUAUAGACCCGAAACCCGGUGAUCUAGCCAUGGGCAGGUUGAAGGUUGGGUAACACUAACUGGAGGACCGAACCGACUAAUGUUGAAAAAUUAGCGGAUGACUUGUGGCUGGGGGUGAAAGGCCAAUCAAACCGGGAGAUAGCUGGUUCUCCCCGAAAGCUAUUUAGGUAGCGCCUCGUGAAUUCAUCUUCGGGGGUAGAGCACUGUUUCGGCUAGGGGGUCAUCCCGACUUACCAACCCGAUGCAAACUACGAAUACCGAAGAAUGUUAUCACGGGAGACACACGGCGGGUGCUAACGUCCGUCGUGAAGAGGGAAACAACCCAGACCGCCAGCUAAGGUCCCAAAGUCAUGGUUAAGUGGGAAACGAUGUGGGAAGGCACAGACAGCCAGGAUGUUGGCUUAGAAGCAGCCAUCAUUUAAAGAAAGCGUAAUAGCUCACUGGUCGAGUCGGCCUGCGCGGAAGAUGUAACGGGGCUAAACCAUGCACCGAAGCUGCGGCAGCGACACUAUGUGUUGUUGGGUAGGGGAGCGUUCUGUAAGCCUGCGAAGGUGUGCUGUGAGGCAUGCUGGAGGUAUCAGAAGUGCGAAUGCUGACAUAAGUAACGAUAAAGCGGGUGAAAAGCCCGCUCGCCGGAAGACCAAGGGUUCCUGUCCAACGUUAAUCGGGGCAGGGUGAGUCGACCCCUAAGGCGAGGCCGAAAGGCGUAGUCGAUGGGAAACAGGUUAAUAUUCCUGUACUUGGUGUUACUGCGAAGGGGGGACGGAGAAGGCUAUGUUAGCCGGGCGACGGUUGUCCCGGUUUAAGCAUGUAGGCUGGUUAUCCAGGCAAAUCCGGAUAAUCAAGGCUGAGGUGUGAUGACGAGGCACUACGGUGCUGAAGUAACAAAUGCCCUGCUUCCAGGAAAAGCCUCUAAGCAUCAGGUAACAUCAAAUCGUACCCCAAACCGACACAGGUGGUCAGGUAGAGAAUACCAAGGCGCUUGAGAGAACUCGGGUGAAGGAACUAGGCAAAAUGGUGCCGUAACUUCGGGAGAAGGCACGCUGGUGUGUAGGUGAAGUCCCUGCGGAUGGAGCUGAGACCAGUCGAAGAUACCAGCUGGCUGCAACUGUUUAUUAAAAACACAGCACUGUGCAAACACGAAAGUGGACGUAUACGGUGUGACGCCUGCCCGGUGCCGGAAGGUUAAUUGAUGGGGUUAUCCGUAAGGAGAAGCUCUUGAUCGAAGCCCCGGUAAACGGCGGCCGUAACUAUAACGGUCCUAAGGUAGCGAAAUUCCUUGUCGGGUAAGUUCCGACCUGCACGAAUGGCGUAAUGAUGGCCAGGCUGUCUCCACCCGAGACUCAGUGAAAUUGAACUCGCUGUGAAGAUGCAGUGUACCCGCGGCAAGACGGAAAGACCCCGUGAACCUUUACUAUAGCUUGACACUGAACAUUGAGCCUUGAUGUGUAGGAUAGGUGGGAGGCUUUGAAGCGUGGACGCCAGUCUGCGUGGAGCCAACCUUGAAAUACCACCCUUUAAUGUUUGAUGUUCUAACGUUGGCCCCUUACCGGGGUUGCGGACAGUGUCUGGUGGGUAGUUUGACUGGGGCGGUCUCCUCCCAAAGCGUAACGGAGGAGCACGAAGGUUAGCUAAUCCUGGUCGGACAUCAGGAGGUUAGUGCAAUGGCAUAAGCUAGCUUGACUGCGAGCGUGACGGCGCGAGCAGGUGCGAAAGCAGGUCAUAGUGAUCCGGUGGUUCUGAAUGGAAGGGCCAUCGCUCAACGGAUAAAAGGUACUCCGGGGAUAACAGGCUGAUACCGCCCAAGAGUUCAUAUCGACGGCGGUGUUUGGCACCUCGAUGUCGGCUCAUCACAUCCUGGGGCUGAAGUAGGUCCCAAGGGUAUGGCUGUUCGCCAUUUAAAGUGGUACGCGAGCUGGGUUUAGAACGUCGUGAGACAGUUCGGUCCCUAUCUGCCGUGGGCGCUGGAGAAUUGAGGGGGGCUGCUCCUAGUACGAGAGGACCGGAGUGGACGCAUCACUGGUGUUCGGGUUGUCAUGCCAAUGGCACUGCCCGGUAGCUAAAUGCGGAAGAGAUAAGUGCUGAAAGCAUCUAAGCACGAAACUUGCCCCGAGAUGAGUUCU
rnacentral:rRNA from 1 species